rnacentral:misc_RNA from 1 species
ACGUCAUCCCCACCUUCCUCCGGUUUGAAACCGGCGGUCCCGGUAGACAUAGUAACUACCAGCGAGGGUUGCGCUCGUUGCGGGACUUAACCCAACACCUCACGGCACGAGCUGACGACAGCCAUGCAGCACCUGUGCACCCUCCCGAUUCGACGAGUCGUCCCCCUUUCAGGGUUCUACUUGGUGCAUGUCAAACCCAGGUAAGGUUCUUCGCGUUGCCUCGAAUUAAACCACACGCUCCGCUGCUUGUGCGGGCCCCCGCCUAUUCCUUUGAGUUUUAACCUUGCGGCCGUAGUCCCCAGGCGGUGAACUUAAUGCGUUAGCUGCGGCACUGAUCGGGUCAAUCCGACCAACACCUAGUUCACAACGUUUAGGGCGUGGACUACCCGGGUAUCUAAUC